AAAUUGUGGAGGUUUGUAAAUAUCAUAAUUCAAUACAAUUUGUGGCGGUUAAUAACCCUACAUAUUUGGUCGUUACUAGCAUGGAGAUUGUGGACUCUCAAUGGGCUACCCGUCAUUUGCACCAUGUGCGUGACAGCUACUCCGAAUGAAAAUGUGUUCGGCGUUCUCGCAACUUCACUCAAUCAAAUGUCUUUCAGAAAUUUGUCUUUCUAAUUAAUAUCCUGACCAUCCGCGCCGACUUGUGACCACUUUGCAUAACUCAGCGAUAGAAUUACAUUUUGUUAGUCUUUUACCAAUACACUAGGCUCGUUGUUUCAAGAGAAUCAGAUGAAGAUGUUACUCGGGUCAUAUAUAACUGGAUGGUUAAAAUGAAAAAGUGGUAUUGGGGUGUUAUGUGAUAGAAUUCAUAUCAAACUGAAAGAUAAGUUCUAUAAAACAGUUGUAAGACCAAUAAUAUCAUAUGUUAGCGAGUGUCGGGCCGGUAAAGUCCAAUAUAUCCAUAAGAUGAAUAUUGCAGAGAUACAUAUGCUAAGAUGGAUUGUAGUCAUAUAAGAUUAGGUAAGAUUUAACAUGAUAACCUUCACUAGAAGGUACAAGUAGCACAUAUUUAAUAUAAAAUGAGAAAUCGUUUGAGAUGACUUAAUAUACGGCGUCGACCUACAAAUUUACUUGUGUAGAUGUGUGAAAGGAUUUUUUUUAACAAAAUAUAUGCACAAAAAUCUUUUAUUUUCAUAAUAUUAGGAGUUCUGAAUUUAAACAAAUAAUAUUAUUUUAUCUAAUCAAAGAUAUUUAGCAAUUUGAAUAUUAAAUGAAUUAUGUUAAUGAGUUUUUGUGAGUUUGUUCUAUAUCUUAGAUUUUUAUUUGUUUAGAUAUCUUGCUUUUUUGUUGCUUUUUUUAUGCUUUAUUUUUUAUAGUAUAUAUAUAUCUCAAUUUUGUUAAAGUAUGUUUUAUUAUAUAGUUAGUUCUAUCUCCCAAUAUUUUAAUUACUAAUAAAAAAAAAAAAAGAGAAAAAAAUGUGAAAAGGCAAUAUUAGACACCAUCUUCCUAAGUUUUAAUCUGAACAUUAUGGGGUAAUUAGGAAAUUAGACUCAAAAAAUAUUCAGAACCUGGGGGGCAAAUUCCCGCUCCUUUUUCCCUCUCUUUUUCCCCCUCUUUUUUUCCUGAGGGCUAAAUUCCCUCUCCACAACUCACGAAAUUCCAGGGCUCAACUGAAUCAAUUCACUUUCUUCUAUCAACUCAAAAUUCCAGGGCUCUAUAGAGUAAAACUCUUUCUUAUUCCAGGACUGCAAUCCGAACGGGAAAGGUACUAUAUGAGGAGGUUUCUCAUUUUUGCAACUGUUGUAUAUUGCAACUGCUGUAUCCAUCUUUGAGCAGGGAAAGACGAAUAACAAACACUUUGGGAUGCCUGCUCAAAAACAUGGUGAACAGAUUGAAGGGUGAAUUGAAACCAUGGAUGCAGAGCAACUUAGAUAGUGUGGUGACCAAGAUGGAGAAUUUCGUUGCUGAUUAUUAUAAGAACAUUGAAGACUUCCUAUUCUAAGUCAACUUCAAAUUUUUAUAACCCAUCAAUUUAUUAGCUAGACAAUAGUAGGAUUAAUCUUGUAAUGAAUACAUACAUUUUUAUUAUCCUAGCUAGUUGGUCACUAUAUCAGAUAUCAUAGUUAUGAUACAAAUUUUGUUUAGUUGGAUCUGAGUUUGUAUUGUUUGUUAUUAUGGUUAUUUUUAAUGGAAUUUGACUUUGUUAUAA